rnacentral:misc_RNA from 1 species
UUUCCGUAGGUGUACCUGCGGAAGGAUCAUUAAAGAGAAUAUGCCCUUCGGGGUAGAUCUCCCACCCUUUGUUUAUAUUACCUUUGUUGCUUUGGCAGGCCCGUCUUCGGACCACCGGCUUCGGCUGGUCAGUGCUUGCCAGAGGACCCAAAACUCUUAUUAUUAAUGUCGUCUGAGUACUAUAUAAUAGUUAAAACUUUCAACAACGGAUCUCUUGGUUCUG